CACGUAGGGUGCGAGCGUUGUCCGGAAUUAUUGGGCGUAAAGAGCUCGUAGGCGGUUUGUUGCGUCGGCCGUGAAAACUUGGGGCUUAACUCCGAGCUUGCGGUCGAUACGGGCAGACUUGAGUUCGGCAGGGGAGACUGGAAUUCCUGGUGUAGCGGUGAAAUGCGCAGAUAUCAGGAGGAACACCGGUGGCGAAGGCGGGUCUCUGGGCCGAUACUGACGCUGAGGAGCGAAAGCGUGGGGAGCGAACAGG
rnacentral:rRNA from 1 species